GCUCAGAACGAACGCUGGCGGCAGGCCUAACACAUGCAAGUCGAGCGCAGUCCUUCGGGACCGAGCGGCGGACGGGUUAGUAACGCGUGGGAACAUACCCCUUUCUACGGAAUAGCCUCGGGAAACUGAGAGUAAUACCGUAUAAGCCCUUCGGGGGAAAGAUUUAUCGGGAAGGGAUUGGCCCGCGUUAGAUUAGAUAGUUGGUGGGGUAANGACCUACCAAGUCUACGAUCUAUAGCUGGUUUUAGAGGAUGAUCAGCAACACUGGGACUGAGACACGGCCCAGACUCCUACGGGAGGCAGCAGUGGGGAAUCUUAGACAAUGGGCGCAAGCCUGAUCUAGCCAUGCCGCGUGUGUGAUGAAGGUCUUAGGAUCGUAAAGCACUUUCGCCAGGGAUGAUAAUGUCAGUACCUGGUAAACAAGCCCC
rnacentral:rRNA from 1 species